rnacentral:rRNA from 1 species
GAUGAACGCUGGCGGCGUGCCUAAUACAUGCAAGUCGAGCGGAUGGAUUAAGAGCUUGCUCUUAUGAAGUUAGCGGCGGACGGGUGAGUAACACGUGGGUAACCUGCCCAUAAGACUGGGAUAACUCCGGGAAACCGGGGCUAAUACCGGAUAACAUUUUGAACCGCAUGGUGCGCAAUUGACAGGCGACUUCGGCUGUCACCUAUGGUGGGACCUGCGUCGCAUUAGCUAGGUGGUGAGGUAACGGCUCACCAAGGCAACGAGGCGUCGCCGACCUGAGAGGGUGAUCGGCCACGCUGGGACUGAGACACGGCCCAGGCUCCUACGGGAGGCAGCAGUAGGGAAUCUUCCGCAAUGGACGAAAGUCUGACGGAGCAACGCCGCGUGAGUGAUGAAGGCUUUCGGGUCGUAAAACUCUGUUGUUAGGGAAGAACAAGUGCUAGUUGAAUAAGCUGGCACCUUGACGGUACCUAACCAGAAAGCCACGGCUAACUACGUGCCAGCAGCCGCGGUAA